rnacentral:misc_RNA from 1 species
AAAGUCGUAACAAGGGUUUUCCCGUAGGUGAACCUGCGGAAGGGAUCAUUUAAAAGUAAGGGUGCUCAGCGCCCGACCUCCAACCCUUUGUUGUUAAAACUACCUUGUUGCUUUGGCGGGACCGCUCGGUUCUCAGCCGCUGGGGGAUUCGGUCCCAGGCGAGCCCCGGCCAGAGUUAAACCAAACUCUUGGUUCAUUUAACCGGUCGUCUGAGUUAAAAUUUUGAAUAAAUCAAAAG